rnacentral:lncRNA from 1 species
GGCAGCUGGUGACACUGGUGAGAGCUCAUCUCCAGGCUUCUAGGAAGAACCUGGACACCAGCCGUGUGGGCUAGCCAAGAGUCUUCAGUUCAGUUCGACAACUUUUAUCUCCUGCACUUUGAAGAAACGGAAGACUUCUGCAAGGCCUGUUUUCCACUGUGAAGCUGAGUCUCUGCUUUAGAGCCCCUCCCCCCUUUUUUUUCUUUUUUUCUUUUUUUUUUCAGCAAGGUCCACUAUUUUCCUGACCUUGGGCUAGACUUCCUGAGGAGAGUGUGGGAGCCAUACAUACUCACUCUGAGAACACAGGGUCACCAGGAAGUAUCGAAGCUCCAAUGUAGGUGCAAUGCCACCCCAGACCUUGUCAUGUCAUGCUUGAAGAGGAGAGCACGGAACACUCGUUACCCCACAAGCGAGGCCAAGCUCCUAGCUUCCUGGUCUUGGCAGUGGUGUGACCCUGCCAUGUCUGUCACAUGUCUAGAAGGUUUCUGGAGGACAGAACCAAGAGAGUGAGGCUCAGGCUAUACCCUGGAGACAGUGCACAGGGGCUCCUGUCCCCAGGGCAGUGGGAGAGCUGGCGAGGAGGCUUCCCCCAUCCCCUUCACUGUGGCAAACGUUUGCUAGGCCAGUUAUGGCAAACCAAUGAUGCGGUGUUUCCUCAUGUUCCCCUCCCAUCUCCCCUACUCGGGCUCUCCAGGGGGAUUUUGUGGCUGUGGCUUUUCUUCCUUUCUCAUUUGGGUCUGAGGAUGGUAGUCUGGAGAGCCCUGGCGUUGACCAAGGGAACCUGUAGUCUCUGAGCAUGUACAGGCCUCCCAUACAAGAGGGUGGUGCUUUAAGGUUCCACUCCCAUAUGGGAAGUUGUCUAGCCUUGGGAGUUGGCAUUGGCAUCACCACCCAUCAAGGUCCUACCCCAUCCUUGGGCACCUUGACUCUUUGAACCAAAGUUCCUUAAAGGGGCAGAGCCCAACCUUGUCCUUAGGAGCCAGAAUUUGCAGGCCCGCUGGAAGGAGGGCUCCUCCCACAAUCUAGGUGCCAGAAGGCUCACCCAGGACCGUUCUCCCACCCAGCCAGGCUUCCCAAACAGGGCUCGAGCGUGUGACCUGACUUGGGCUGGGCCUGGCCAACCAUGAAAGAGCAAGAGCCAUGUGGCAGGGCCUUCCAGAUCCCAGGCAUCAGGAAACCAUUUUGUAUAACAACCCGAAGCAGUGAUAUUUUUUAAGAUGCAUGAAUUAUUUUCAGUUGUCUUCUGAUCCUAUCUUUGUUUUCUUCUUUUCCCCACAACUUCACGUUGGUGAUCCGUUCACAUCAGGUAAAUCUUGAGAACGCCUUGGUGCCCCAUUCCUCCUGCCCCCCUACUCAGUGACCACGUGUGUGAGCCUCCAUCCUGUCUCAGUAGUAAAGACGUUCUAGGCAAUACCAUAGACACAUCUGUGUCUCGCUUCGAGUGCAAGAAACUCAAGUCAUCUUAAAAAAAAAUUUAAAAACACAAAA